CACACAUUUAUUUAGUGGGUACCCUGUUUAACUUUGUAUUUGUUCUCUUUACAGGGUUUCAGACAAAAUAAAAAAGAAGGAAAGUGCUCACAUACAAAUUAAGAAGUUCAGCUCUCUCCCAAGGAGAUGGUUUGUUUGUGUCCCUGGUCGAUAAGAACAGAAGUCUCCUCGUCACCUUUGUGGACUCUUGGCUAAGUGGUGUCAUCAUCAGGGUCUCCCUGUUCUGGGAGUCCAUCCUGAGUCAGCAGCAGGGCGUGCCUAGAGCAGCAGUUGGAGGAACCGAUCAAUCGAUCGAUCAGUGGCAGUGUGAGUGCAUGGAAGUCAGCCAAACUGUGACUGAGCACAAACGGACAAUUGCAAUUUUCUUAGAAUGUCAAGAUUUGUAUUAAUGCCUUUAAAAUUAAAUAAAAGCCCUUUUUUGAAA